CACUAAGCCUAGUGUUGAAUCCUACUGCAUCUGACUCUAAAACCUGUGUCUCCCCUGUUACCUGGCUAGGACUCCCAAAAGAUCUAGGAUGGGGCCAGGUUAAGGCCAUGCAGCCAGAGAGAAACCAUAAGCCAAGGUCCGGAAGAAGAAAGGGGAGGACAAGCAGGCUGGGUGGAGAACAGAGGAGCUGAGCAUAGCAGUACUGAGAGGAGGCGGAGGAGAUGGCCACAGAGGAUGGCAUUGUCUCCACCACAGGGUGGGUCUGGAUCAGUGGCAGCAGCACACAGGAACAAGAGUCACCUCUGGUCACCAGGGAUAGGGGCCUGGACAACGGACAAUUUGCUAG
rnacentral:lncRNA from 1 species